AUUCCACGAUGGGGACAUUCUAGGAUGUAGUCUUGGAAGCGCUCCCAUGCUUCUGGAACAGAUUCAUCAUGUUGUUGCUGAAAACUUGCUCCCAUGCUUUUGGAAC
rnacentral:snoRNA from 1 species